ACUGUGUCCAGGUAACACUCUGUGUCCAGGUAACAUACUGUGUCCAGGUAACAUACUGUGUCCCAGGUAACACACUGUGUCCAGGUAACACUCUGUGUCCAGGUAACAUACUGUGUCCAGGUAACACACUGUGUCCAGGUAACACACUGUGUCCAGGUAACACACUGUGUCCAGGUAACACACUGUGUCCCAGGUAACACACUGUGUCCAGGUAACACACUGUGUCCCAGGUGUGUCCACUGUGUCCAGGUAACACACUGUGUCCAGGUAACACACUGUGUCCCAGGUGUGUCCACUGUGUCCAGGUAACACACUGUGUCCAGGUAACACACUGUGUCCAGGUAACACACUGUGUCCCAGGUAACAUACUGUGUCCCAGGUGUGUCCACUGUGUCCAGGUAACACACUGUGUCCAGGUAACACACUGUGUCCCAGGUGUGUCCACUGUGUCCAGGUAACACACUGUGUCCAGGUAACACUCUGUGUCCAGGUAACACACUGUGUUACAGGUAACACACUGUGUCCAGGUAACACUCUGUGUCCCAGGUAACACACUGUGUCCAGGUAACAUACUGUGUCCAUGUAACACACUGUGUCCAGGUAACACACUGUGUCCCAGGUGUGUCCACUGUGUCCAGGUAACACACUGUGUCCCAGGUGUGUCCACUGUGUCCAGGUAACACUCUGUGUCCAGGUAACACACUGUGUUACAGGUAACACACUGUGUCCAGGUAACACUCUGUG